rnacentral:misc_RNA from 1 species
GGUCAUGUAAAUAUUUGCAUACCCUUAUGAAUGACCAAUCUAUACGAAUAUUCAUUAGAAGGGCAAACCAUAUCUGUUGAGCUAAUUACUACAGGACAAAAUACUAGCAUUCACUUUAAGCACCAUAAUUAAUUCAAAGAGAAAUCUCCAUUUUUUGCUGUUCUUUUCACUCAAUGCUACUUUUUUUGUUUUUCUAUUAAAUUCAAUUUCCAAUUACCAUAUGGCUUUUCAAAAAUUACAUCCACAAGUUAUGACCAAACCAAAUAUACUGAACCAGGAAGGAGCUCAAAGAAAUGGAAAUCAAUCAAAUCAAACAAAUUAAUCACAAAUUUACCAGCCUAGGGGAUUCACGAUAG